GGGUCAGCAGGUUGGUCGUGCCAAUGGUAUGCACUGGCCUUGCUGAUUCCUCCCUCUUGAUGAGCCGUAAUGCCAUUAAUUUGGUGUUGCGGGGAAUCAGGACUGUUACUUUGAAAAAAUUAGAGUGUUCAAAGCAGGCCUAUGCCUGAAUACAUUAGCAUGGAAUAAUAAAAUAGGACG
rnacentral:rRNA from 1 species